rnacentral:rRNA from 1 species
CCUUAAAUGUUCUUCGUGAACAUAGCGAACUGCUCAGUAACACGUGGAUAACCUACCCUUAGGACCGGAAUAACCCCGGGAAACUGGGGAUAAUACCGGAUAAGCCAUAGACGCUGGAAUGCCCUAUGGUUCAAAGCUCCGGCGCCUAAGGAUGGAUCUGCGGUCUAUCAGGUUGUAGUGGGUGUAACGUACCUACUAGCCGACGACGGAUACGGGUUGUGAGAGCAAGAGCCCGGAGAUGGAUUCUGAGACACGAAUCCAGGCCCUACGGGGUGCAGCAGGCGCGAACACUUUACAAUGCGGGAAACCGCGAUAAGGGAACCCCGAGUGCCAGCAUCAAAUGUUGGCUGUCCAGGUGAUUAAAAAUCAUUUGUUAGCAAGGGCCGGGCAAGACCGGUGCCAGCCGCCGCGGUAACACCGGCGGCCCGAGUGGUAGCCGUUUUUAUUGGGUCUAAAGGGUCCGUAGCCGGCUUGAUAAGUCCUUUGGGAAAUCUGGCAGCUUAACUGUCAGGCUUCUAAGGGAUACUGUCAGGCUUGGGACCGGAAGAGGUAAGGGGUACUCCAGGGGUAGGAGUGAAAUCUUGUAAUCCCUGGGGGACCAUCUGUGGCGAAGGCGCCUUACCAGAACGGGUCCGACGGUGAGGGACGAAAGCUAGGGGAGCAAACCGGAUUAGAUACCCGGGUAGUCCUAGCUGUAAACGAUGCUCGCUAGGUGUCAGACACGGUGCGACCGUGUUUGGUGCCGCAGGGAAGCCGUUAAGCGAGCCACCUGGGAAGUACGGUCGCAAGGCUGAAACUAAAGGAA